UCUAGCUGUCUAACGUGACACCUGUCAUCGUAAAUUCGUGAUCAUAUUUUCCUCAAUUUUCGCCACUCCUCCUCCUACAAACGAUCUGCUGACAUUUUUUAAUCAUGUCGGAAAGCGUCCUUGCUCCCCUACAGCUGGAACUGCUAAUUCAGAGAGAACCGAGAGAGAAGUCAGAUAUCCGCUGGCAGUUUGUUGAGGUAAACAUCCUGUCCCAAAUCGAUGCCCCUCUCCUAAGUUUGAUCGAGUUUUUGACGUGGACCAUCACAGCAAAGACAUUUCUCAAGUUGCACAGUAAAUCUUUGCAAGUGCUCCCAUGCAUCAACCAUGGACCACAUUCCAUUUAAGAAGUUGACCGAAAAUUUCCAAGUUGCAGCCUAAAAUAUUUGGUUGUAUGGAAAUUCUUCUCCAUCGUCGACAGCCCUCAAGUUACAAGAUUGUUCGUUGGAAACAUUCUUCAAAGAUAGUCCAAGUUGGAAACAUCUUCAGUCUGUGGCUCACUUAUGCCUGCAAGAAAACAUUGAUUGAAAAAAUGUUGUAUUUGGUUAUAGGUUUUAAUUUGCUCUGUCUUCUAGAGUUAAACAUUUUACAAGUAACUCUAGGAGUAUGUUGGAGCAGUAGAGUAAAGCGACAUUACUUAUAAAAGCUGUCCACUCAACUACAAAACAGAGAUUGGAGUCUUACGCUUUCCAUAAAGUCAGAUGGUCAUUGAGUCACAACAAAAUUCUUUAGACUUCUGUCAAGGAUUUGAUUUUGAAUAAGAAGGUAAAUUUACAGAAGUUAGACGGCAAAGAGCACAAGGCACUGCUUUUGGGGUUGAAUGGACAUCAAAGGGAAUCCUUAGUACCAUAUAUAAUGUGCUCGGGUCCCAGGUUAUACCUUCUUGUCGUAUUUACCCCAGGCCAAUUUUAAGAUGGUCUUUUUCUGCUUCCUUAAACGGUUAGGACUGUGGAGUAAAUUCCCUGCUUGUAUUUUACACCCUACUCACAUUCCAAGUCAGGCUCACAUGAGGUUAGAUGCAUAGACUUUUCUCUUGUCUUGUAAUUUGUGCAUUUUUAUCUUUAUCUCUCAUGUGGUUCCAUGCAUAAUUAUGUUUGCUUUGGUUUUCAGUCAUCAGCUUUCCAUUCCAGUCUUUCAUCUUGCAAAGGUUAUUUUGAGACAUCUCUCUCUGAUUAAGUUGUCAACACCUAGUGAUCUUCCUUUCUUCAUCUGUCUAACUUCCCAUCUUACCGAAUUGUGGCAGUGUCUUCAUUUUUCAGUGACUCAUUUACAAGUUUUCAAGUUUUUUGACAAUCACAAUUUAUUAGAUAGGAUUAAAAUUUUCUGUUUAAAAAACAUACCUUACAGGCUAGGUGGGAAUAUAUAAGUAUAUAUCCUUAGGCAAGGUUUGCAAGCGUAUUAUAGUGUCUUUGAGGUCUUGGUUCGAUUCUCGGCCAUUCCGUUGAGGAGUGAGAGAUGUGUAUUUCUGGUGAUAGAAGUUCACUCUCGACGUGGUUCGGAAGUCACGUAAAGCCGUUGGUCCCUUUGCUGAAUAACCACUAGUUCCGUGCAACGUAAAAGCACCAUACAAACAAAACAAACAAACUGUAUAAUUGUAAAGUGCCUUAAGUUAUAAAUUACCUUAUCUGUUUUUAGUGUGAGGAGCAAUUUGCAGUAUUUUGGGAUAGUUGAAUCUUUACUUUGUUGGCUCCUGAGGACAUUUUAGUAAACAUUGAAAAUAUCAAUGGCGAUUUAUGAGUAAUUAUGGUUUUUAAAAGACUUGUUGUUAACUUUCAUGAAUGAGUAAAUGCCUUUUAGAAGUAUUUUGUUUGAGGUCUUAAGGUUAUUUCUUAUGUGGCAGCAAUUGUAUCAUAUUCUGUAUGUCAAAAUGUUUACUCUGGUUUGGACUUGCUUUGGUUUACAUAGAAACCUAUUAACGUUUAACCUUAUUCGUGUGCUGUGUGGCAUCAUAGACACUGUAAUCUACUGUGGUUUAUAUAGAAACCUUUUAACUUAGCCUUAUUUGUGUGGUGUGUGACAUCAUAGUAUAGGGCCCUCUCAAGGUUACUGAUAAUCAUCCUGGUAAACAUUAUUAAUAAGGCUUUGCCUUCUCUCAUUUGUUUGGGCACUGAAUGACCUCAUAGGUGCCACUGGUUGGGCUUUGGCCUAAAUUUUGUAUUCUGUUCCAUCCUGGAAUUGGUAAAUAAGAUAUUUCCUGUCCCUCAUUAUUCUUCUGAUUGUGGAAUUCAAAAUUCACAUUCUCAGGACAAGUAAUUCCAUUUUUAUUAUACAUAGUUUAUUGCUAUUACUCUUUCUUGAUAAGUAUUUACAACCAUUGUCAUCUUGUAUAGUACAAUAAUACCCGUUAAGAUCAUACAUUUUGUCCGUUCAAGAACUGGUAUCCUUUUCUGUAACAGUGGGAUGGAACUCCUUGAUAAACCUCUCUGGAAGUGAUCCAGCUUUUAAGGGAUUGUGGCCUUUUGUCAAUUUCAGAGAUCCCUUCAGAUCCUGGUUUGAGCAACUUUUCUCUUUCCAGUUCUUCCUACAUUUCCAAGUUCAGUGUCCUUUUCUAUGACUGUCAGCAUCUUCCUCUGACUCGGUGAUAUCCUUUCUUCCUUUCCCUGGCCAAGAACUUAACCCAGACAGUACCCAUUCCUUAUUUUGUUGGGUCUUUGUGACUGGGAAUAUGUGUGAUGUGUAUGACCCAGUUCAACUUGCUUCUUUUUUUAUUGGUUCAGUACCUCUUCCUAGUGAAUUGGUCAUCUGUUUGUGCAAGUUCAACAAUUUUUGUUAUCUAGUCAUGAAAUUUUCGAGUUUCAUGUCUUGUAUAAAAGCUUAAGAUGUUCGUCAAGAACAGACCCAUCAGGCCAUCCUUCUGAAGAGUUACAAAUGUCAACUCUGGUCUGGUUAAACCGUUGGUGGAUUUGUUAAUACUUUUUUGGUUAUUUUGUUUAAUCAGUGUUCACUUCCCGAUAUUGUUUAUUUUAUUUUUUGAGGUUUAAAAGUCUUGCUAUUUUAGCAAUUACAGCUCUUACUGCUGCUUAUCCUGGUCAGUUAACAAAUUUUUUGUGAUUGUUUUUAUUUAGUUUUUUUUUUUUUUUACUGACUAUUCUCUGGCGUUGGUUGCGCUACCUGUAGAGAUGUUUCAUUUACCUUGGAUUCCACAGUUCCAAGAGCUUCUGCAUCAUUUCAUAGUCCUAGUAACACUCCUGUAAGAGGUUUUCGUGCAUCGUACCUUUCAGAAUUCAUUCACUUUUUUUUGGCAGGGUUUGCACUAUAUAAAGCAUUUUACCUUUGGAGCCUGCUCUUUCUUUUUGCUUAUAUAUCCUAUGAGUUUCCCUUGGUCUCUUUUGGCAUGUUACACCUGCUUGGCAUUAGAGUAACUAAGUUCCCUCCUGCUUAGUUUAACCAGGUUUUGUGAGUAACCAAUGCAAUUUUUUUAUGCACAAAUCCAUUACUUGCGGACAAAGUGGCCUUAUUCUGAUCUUAACCACAAGUGCUGUUGUGGAAAAUGGCAAUGACAGAUUAAAAUAACAAUUUACUGUUGUGUUAUGGUGUUCUCCAUUGAAGUAAUAUGACCCCAUCUUCACAUUGGUCACAUUCGUGUAAGAAUAACCUUUAUGACGUAAUCCCAGGAUGCAAGUGAAGAAUAACUCGGACAUAUCUUGAGUGAUUGUAAAUCUUUCAGCCAACAACUUACGUUAUGUAUUGGAAACGAAUAAUUUGAAGAAAAUUGUCAGAAUCAUUUAUAUUUUUUAGUUUGACAAUAAAUAGCUGUUUCUUUUUCAUCUACAGUGGAUUAUGGUGCCUGAGACUUGACACUACACACGAUUUAGGCCGAGUUAAGGUGUUGUGUUAGUACUAUAGGAAAAGUGCUUUCAUGUUUUUCUUUAUGGAUAAAAUGAAAAUUGUAUGAAGACUUACAAUAUUACGAUUACAUAUAUGUAUGUGGUAAAACAAUUCACAUUGUAAACAUUUGUUGCUUGAAAGGUUGUGGGGCUUAAGAAUUAAGGGUCAUUAGUUAUGAAUAUGAUAGUUUCAUAGUUAUUUUAAAUAAAUGUCUGUUUUAUUAAUUGGUAAUAAAUACAUUUUGCUCUCUCUCUCUCUCUCUCUCUCUCUCUCUCUCUCUCUCUCUCUCUCUCUCUCUCUCUCUCUCUCUCUCAGGGACCAGGAUUUCCUAACUCCUUAAUGUGUGUCUUAAGUUGAAUACGAGGUAACAAAAGGAGUUUAGGUUUGACACGAACAAUGGCAAAUGUCAUAUCUUCAUGCAUGGUUAUAGCAACAGCAAUGCAAUGUCCUCAGGUCUUUGUUAUUCAUGGUUAUAGCAACAGCAACUCUGUCUCUUUAGAUCUAUGCCCUUAAUGGUUAUACGAACAGCAUCAUCCUCCACCAAACUACAUCUCUCCAUAUCUUCCUUCACCAUCUAAUUCUCUGUCGCCCUCUCGAUCUUCCUCUAAGGCCCCGUCCACACGGCCGAGCUUUGCUCGACGAACUUUGUUUGAUGUGACGUCAGAAGCGGAGGAACCGCGGCAAGGUUCUGACUUUUCUCGCUGUUUCUCCGCUUCUGACGUCACAUCAGACAAAGUUCGUCGACCAAAGCUCGACCGUGUGAACACACCUUAACAGGUUCCUCCCAAGCCCUCUUCACUCUCCUCGUCACCCAUCCUCAUCCCAUGGCCCGUACCAUCUCAAUCGUGACACUCUUAUCACCUCUCUACGAAGCCUGCCUGCCCUUCUUAUUUCAUCGUUUUCUAUUCUCAUGCAGUGAUAUACCCAUAAUCCACCUCAGCGUUCUCAUCUCUGUUCUCUCAAGCUUUACUUCCUCUUUUCUUCUUUGAGCCCAUGUUUCUGCUCCAUACAUUAACACUGGUCUUACCACUUGUGUUAUAUGUCUUGACUUUUAGCUUGAGUGGCAUUUUCUUAACACAUACCACUCCAGCUACCUCUCUCCACUUACCCCAUGCAGCUUUUAUCCUACUGUCAACUUCAGCCUCGCAUCCCCCUCUUGGCUUUUCACAUUCACUUUUAAGCCACUCCUCUUUAAAGACUUCCCCAACCCUUCUCUGUAGGUCGUCCUCAUUAUCAGCAGUAAUCACCAGAUCAUUGGCGUACCAGCACAAACAAAAAUGGGCUUAAUGCUGACCCCUGGUGUAGUCCAACACUAACUUCAAAGAUUUCUGUUUUCCCCAACUGCAGUCAUCACUUGUGCACGAUCUUUUAUAUAUCAGCUCGACCAGCCUAACCAACUUUUCUGGGACUUUCCUUUUCCUUAAACACCAAAACAUCACUUCUCUUGGGAUUCUAAGGCCCCGUCCACACGACCGAGCUUUGCUCGACUAACUUUGUUCGAUGUGACGUUAGAAGCGGAGAAACCGCGGCAAAGUUCUGACUUUUCUCGCUGUUUCUCCGCUUUUGACGUCACAUCGGACAAAGUUCGUCGACCAAAGCUCGACCGUGUGGACGGGGCCUUAGAUAUGCUUUCUCUACAUCUAUGAUUGUACGAUAGAGCUCCUGGUUUCCCUGUAGCCUCUUUUCAUGUAGCUAUCUUAUGAAGAUGGCAUCUACUGUCCCUCUUCCUCUCAUAUGAAUCCACACUGCUGUUUCCCGAUCUUUACACACUUAAUCUAUCAUCCAGUCUUCUGUCUUAAAACUUUCAAGCCAUACUCUGUUAGUUUGAUUCCUCUGUAGUUACCACAAUCCAUGACAUCGCCAUCUCCUGUAUACCAUUAUUACUCUCCUUCCAGUCCAAUGGCAUUUCUUCCAAGCGCCUCAGCGGCGUGGUUGGUAUGGUAUUAGCGUCCUACCUCGGUGGUCGCGGGUUCGAUCUCGGCCAUUCUAUUGAGGAGUGAGAGAUGUGUAUUUGUGGUGGUAGAAGAUCACUGUCGACGUGGUUCGGAAGUCACGCAAAGCCGUUGGUCCCGUUGCUGAAUAACCACUGGUUCCAAACAAACAAAACAAAUUUCUUCCUCUUCACAUAUAGCUUUUAAUAAUCUGGUGAUUUACCAUUCUUCAUUUUCCUUAAUAAUCUCUCAUGUAUUCUGUAUCUAUAACGCUGGUUCCUCCAUCCUCUGUGCUCGCCCCCCCCCCCCCCCUCAUCUCCUCUCCCUCAUUUUAGUAUUUAACAACUUCAAAAUCUCUCUCUCUCUCUCUCAGGCCUAAAUUGGUAUGCUCAAGUCAGUGAGUCACGGCUAGAUCCAAAAGAGGUUACAAACGACCGCCAUUAGAAAGUUCAGUACUUAUGGAACAAGUCAAUAGAAAGGUUCAUAUCGAGGUAAAAUAUCAGGGGAGAGGUCCAUACCUACGGAAAAAAGGCCAAUAGUAAUCCUUGCCUACCAAAAAGGCCAAUAGAAGGUUUAGAGCUACGACUAAAAGCCAUUAGAAAUGGCCUCGGGAUAAUUAGGAGGCCAAUAGAAAGUUCUGUUAUAAUACACAUCUCUCCUCACUCCUCAAUGGAAUGGCCGAGAAUCGAACCCUCUGUGGUCACGGGUUCGAUUCUUGGCCAUUCCAUUGAGGAGUGAGAGAUGUGUAUUUCUGGUGAUAGAAGUUCACUCUCGACGUGGUUCGGAAGUCGCGUAAAGCCGAUGGUCCCGUUGCUGAAUAACCACUGGUUCCAUGCAACGUAAAAACACCAUAAAAAAAAUUAACUUAAUAUAUUCCAUUUACUACGAAGGUUGCGUAGUUGAAAGCUUGAAUAUGUGAAAAUGUGUGUAGCGAAACUAUCUGUUCAUUAAUCAUUUUAAUUGAAUAAAGGUAAUGUAAAACGUCUACUAUUCAUUAAUAGUUGUAACUGAGUAAAGACAUGGUAAAAU